CGACCCCAGGUCAGGCGGGACUACCCGCUGAGUUUAAGCAUAUAAAUAAGCGAAGGAGAAGAAACUUACAAGGACUCCCCUAGUAACGGUGAGCGAACUGGGAGCAGCCCAGCUUGAGAAUCGGGCGGCUGUGCCGUCCGAAUUGUAGUCUGGAGAGGCGUCCUCAGCAACGGACCGGGCCCAAGUCGCCUGGAAAGGGGCGCCUGGGAGGGUGAGAGCCCCGUCCGGCCCGGACCCUAUCGCCCCACGAGGCGCCGUCAACGAGUCGGGUUGUUUGGGAAUGCAGCCCAAAUCGGGCGGUAGACUCCGUCCAAGGNCAAGGCUAAAUACAGGCGAGAGACCGAUAGCGAACAAGUACCGCGAGGGAAAGAUGAAAAGGACUUUGAAAAGAGAGUCAAAGAGUGCUUGAAAUUGCCGGGAGGGAAGCGGAUGGGGGCCGGCGAUGCGCCCCGGCCGUAUGCGGAACGACUCUUGCUGGUCCGCCGCUCGGCUCGGGGUGUGGACUGUUGUCGGCCGUGCCGGCGGCCAAAGCCUGGGGGCCCUAGGUGCCCCCGGUGGCUGUCGUCGGCACGGCCGGUACCCGCGCGCCGAAAGGCGUGUCCCUCGGGGCACUACGCUGCAACGGCCUGCGGGCUCCCCAUCCGACCCGUCUUGAAACACGGACCAAGGAGUCUGACAUGCAUGCGAGUCGACAGGUUCUGAAACCUAGGAUGCGCAAGGAAGCUGACGAGCGGGAGGCCCUCACGGGCCGCACCGCUGGCCGACCCUGAUCUUCUGUGAAGGGUUCGAGUUGGAGCACGCCUGUUGUCGGUGUCAAAACCGGCGGAUCUCGGGUAGGGGGUCCCGAACUGUGCGUCUAGGCGGAUGGUAACAGGAGACAAGGGACACGAUGUUUUUUACCCAGGUUCGGGCCCUCUCGAUGGAGGUAAAACCCUACUCCUGCUUGAUUAAUAUUGAUGAUAUGGGUAGUACAAGAGUAGAUCUACCAUGAGAUCAAGGAGGCUAAACCCUAGAAGCUAGCCUAUGGUAUGA
rnacentral:ncRNA from 1 species